GUUGUCACAAGACAAGGUACGACCAGCUAAGUUGUAACUUGAGAGGUGUCACUCGACAUGAAGCAACCAUGCGGGACUUAGUCACCGCCCUCUGGACACGAACGCUCAGGGCCGCUGCCCUUGUGAACACCGGAAGCCAAUUGUGUGAACGGCACCUCACUAAAAGAAUAGAACUCUCGUUGUGUACUAUAGACACAUGUGGUACGUAGAUGAAACGGUAAAAGUGGUAAAUAUCCUCUCGUUUUGGGCACCUUUUGGUGAACUUGCGGUCUGAGCUAGCGGUGGAAUCGUCGGUCGACUAGAUGUUAGAUGACCCGCAUCUGAGUAACCUCAGCUGCUGGGCACGCGCACACCAAAGACCAAACGACGACGACGACUAUCGCCUCUUACCGCUUACGGCGGCUCGUGGCGCAUGUCUACGUCCGUCGAGGAGGGAGGCCGUUCCAGCAGGGGCGGCGCGGCCUCUUCUCCGACUUAGCGAAGCACGUGAGCUAGCGCAGCUACCUCUCCCAGCCGUUGCGAGACCCGUGCGACCUGAAGUGUACCCGCUGGCAGCAGCACGAGUCGCCGAUGGGCUGUCACGAGGUGCACGACCUAAAGACCAAACGGUGCCGGUAUUAAAAGGACCUUCCUAACUCCAUGCAUACGUUAAAAUACAGCGGUUAUAUAAAGAAGAGAAUCGAUAUGUUACCGACAGCGGGUAUGAAGCAUCAUUGUUUGUCACUAUGUGAGUCGUCAUCUUUUCCUUUUUACUACGAUCUCAUGUAUUAAAAGAAAAACCGCCUUUUACGAUGUAUGAUCUGAAAUGAUAAGUAGGACUUUCAGACUUUACUCACUAAAAACAGUUUUUUUUUUAAUCUUUUUAUCUAUAUCACGAAGUAAUGGAUCUUUUGCCAGAACAAACUAGAAAAAUUAUAGACCUCAUGUAAGGGCGUUUUUAUUUUUAUUUAAAGACCUCAUGUCUUACACGUUAAAACCGGCCCUCAUAAGGAUACAAAUUAACCUUGUGUGAAGUAUUUUAGAGUUCUACUAUACAGCCGAGUCAGAGAACUUCUACGAAUAUUUCUACCAACACGCACAUACAUAAGUAUCCCCACUCACAUAUGCGCACAUAUAUAUAUAUACUCUUGCCCCGCAACUGGGCAACCGACCUGUCGACCCCAACGACGGUCGGGUGGGCUCAAGCUCAGGGCCGAGCCUGCGCACCACGAGUGCCUCAAAGAAGAUAUUUUUUUUACGGUUGUUCCUAAUCGGGAACCCAACCAGAGAGGAACCUAACCAGAGUAAAAAAAAUAUGCGCAUGUAUACUCGCAAAUGCAGACAUGAUACAAAUUUUUUUGUGAUAGUGGUAUGUGGAGAGAUACAUUGGAGCAGGAGCAGCGCAACGAAAGUGAUAGAACUUUAGACCGGAGAUGAGGUUCUUUACGGGGAUGUAUUGAAGUCGUUGUGAGUUGAAAUUGAAAACUGUUUUGGGGUGGUCAGGUCGCGAUCGAGCACUGAGACAAGGUUUAAUGAAUUUCUUUAUCCAACCAAAACUCAGUUUGUAGAAAUACAAACUAAUUGAAAUAUCUUUUGGUAUAAUUGUAGAUAGUUGUACUUAAUACAUAUCAUACCUUUAUAUAAAGUACUACUUAGAUUACUUUGAUUAUAAAAAAAAACGCCCUAUUACUUUGAUUAUACAACAGUAUCUAUACGCAUAUAAAAAGAUAUUUGAUUCAGUUUGAAUUUGUACAAACUGAAUACUAUUUGAAUCUUUUUAUAAAACCUUACCUCGAUAUCGAGCGUCACUAGGUUACUAGCAUCUGAUAAGUAGAAAACCAUGGGUAAUACUUGCUACCGCAGAUAGACAGUCCCGCUCAACCGUUGAGUACACGUGUAACGUGAGUACGCUUGUACCCUAGUUGUACGGUAUAAACAAUGAAUGUUCGCUGAUCAUCCUUGAAACAGAAAGGUAAUUCUUCUUCUAUUAACUGGUCCAUUAUUCCUUUUGACUGGUUUUUAACCAUGUUAACGCUACUUACGUGUGCGGUCAGGGCUCCGAUGCGUGGUUGGUUCAGAUGUUGUGGUGGUGAGUUUACCAGGUUAUACUAUGAGUUUGUUGGGUUUCCGUCUAAGGUCUCGGCGGCUAAGCCGAAGGUGUGACCAGGGUUCCGGUGCGUGAUCAGAUCAACUACCGGGACGAUGGGUUCGUUGGUUCCUGUUGUGGAUGUGUGUUCUCUUAAAGUUUCAGCGUCGAGGUUAGAGGUGUGGCCGGGACUCCGGCACUGGGUUACCUCAGCUACCGAGACGGCGGGUACACUGGUUUAAGUGGUGGUAUGCGUGUCCUCUAGUGGCCGGGAUUCCGGUACUAGGUUAGCUCAGCUACCGAAACGGCGGGUUCACUGGUUUCAGUGGUGGUAUGCGUGUCCUCUAGAGGCCUCGGCGGUGAGACUGAAGGUGUUGCCAGGUCUCCGGUGCGUAGGUGGUACAACGUGGCCACGGUUCCGGUGCGUGGGUGGUCCGGCUGCUGCUUUGAGUUUAAGGGGCCGUUGGCUGCUUCUUGGCUUGGAGGUUCCGUAACGGGGAUUCUGAUAUAUAGCUCCUAAGCUCCACAACCAAUGCAUGUCACUUGUGUAAUUGAAUACCGGGUGGAGUGUGAUACGGGUUUAAAGGACCUCAUACACGAUCCAAUUUUUGACAAGAAACACUCACACCCACCGACCAGAGUUCAAAUUUUGAACAACGUAUAUACAUCUGCAUCUCCAUCACGUCGUCAAAACUUUCAAACUUGGGUUUGUAGUGUAUUGGACAACGUUACGUGCAUAUUAAUACAUAAGUUUUUUAUAUAAAAACGGAGCAGUGCCGUGGGUGAGUCUCUUCGCUGAGUUUUCGGUAAGUAUUUAAAUCAUUCAAAUAGUGUCUGUAUAGUAAAAUAAUGUAUGUUGACAACCUUUAUUCGGGAUCUCCGUUAUUAUUUUCCUAAUAAUAAUAUAAAGGAACAAGUACUAUUAAAAGAAGAUAAGUACGAUAUUAACAUAAUAGGCCUUUAGUAUUAUGUGCACACUUAUGUAUCUGGUGUUAUACAGGGAUCACUCGGAGAUCAACUGAUCGAACAACUAGUUGUCUAUCAGUACCAAAGGACUGAUACCUGUAACCUACAGUAACUAUUGCCCUAGUGUAGUAAUCCUCUUACUACACUACCUGUUCUGGGUUAGGAUUCGUAUCGUGUUCUAGCACAUCAAGCAAAACGAUCUCGAAAAGGUUACAGUUCAUAGAGAAGGAAUCUGGUACUCUAGCACAUUGACGGCCUAUGGCAUCCUCACGAAACCCACAUGGUUUGCAGUGUUGCAUUGACCCACUGAUAUUUCCACGUGAUGUCCAUAGAGGUUUUCACAGACAACCCAACUGUAUCUAGUUCUGACCCUAAACAGUGAGGCAUACUGCCUCUCCAUAGAGACCCGGGUGAGUCAUUACGUAGUAGUAUUACUCGAGUUUCACUGGUUCACAGACCAGUACCCUAGUACGUAAUGCCAUGUUCAUUUCACUGAACGGCCAUUGCUCUAACUUGCACCAUAACCCUAUGGCUGCUAGCUUAGAGCCCGUUCAUUGCAUGGCUAACUGCUUCCCUUAACAUAUGCCCCAACGAACUUAGGAGCUGUAGCACCAAGUAGGUUACUCUAGUAGCUACUCGUACACCAUCGGUUGUACCCAUAGGUCUAGGGCGACAACCAAUAACUGGCCUCUCGUCAGAGCCAGUACAGACACACAGAGGGCUUGGGCAUCCCAGAUGUGUGAAUUCCAAGCCACUGCGAUCCCAACAUUUCUAUAAUCAUACGUCGUUUGACUUUCAAAAAGCCUCAGGGCCUACUCUGGGGCCUGCAGUGCUCCUCAAGGCCUUACCAGGAUUCCAUUUCUUAAUAUAUACCCUUCAGCCAAAAGCCGGUAGCCCAUUCAAAGCCCCAGUGGUCAUAACAUGGCCCUGGUGGCCUUCCCAGGGCCCCCGGGCUACCCACCCCGGUGGGUAGGGUCUCCCGGGGUACCCGACUUCACCCUCCCCUUGGUCGGGGACCACCCGACCACGUGGGGGGACCCUGGGGGAGACGUGGAUCCCAACCCUUGGAAUCCCCUCCCCCGCGGAGGUGAACGGAACCCCCCGUUCAGAGGGGGGAACCGGCGGGGGGGGGGGAUCCUCUAGGGUAGAGGAUCCCAGCCGCGGGGGGACCCCAGGGAUAUAUUUCUCCCCCCACCCUCCCGUCGGCGUGGGACUGUAGACCGCGGAGGGAGGGGGGAACGAUGUGGAGGAGGAGGGCAUCAGCGAACCGCUUCGGGACGGCCUUGGGACGACGUAGGUGGUGGUGCGGCAGCACGACGACCUAGAAGUAGUUGGAGAGGAAGGGGGAACGACCUAGUUCUUCCUCCUCUGCAGUGCGACUGGCAUGCACACAACUUGCGCCUCCACGGCAGGCAAGUCGCGAUCCUAGAGGCCACUAAACCUAGUGCUGCUCAUGUUGAGGGAGUUGGGGCAAGAGAACUUGCGAAGGCGAGCGCUAGAUGUUCCCAUACAUCUACGUGAGGAGAGAGAGUAACGAUCUACUUGAGUAACUAACUAGAACCACUUGCAUCUUAAAAAAAUAAAAUACGUUGCAAGGGGUUGUCACCGUAGUACUCGAUCCAGAUACGCAUCAAGAGAUAACGUGCUCAUCUUGUGUUAAACAACACCCGCAUCUACAACAGUUGAAAGAACGGCGAUGAUCAGAAUAAAACGAAGUCGCCAUAACACCCUACUUCGCCUGGCCUGGCUGGAAUGUACAUGUGAAUGCACUCUGUCCAAGGUGGCUGAGUGUACGUGAUCAACGUAUUCCACGGAUCGCCCACAGACAGAGAGGGUGAAAUCAACCUCGGCUAAGCUACUUUUCCCAGGAAUACUUCGCAUUUAUCUUCAACUGUUUAGUGCAACACCGAAAUAGCAUCCAUUCUUUUGCAAGAACGAUCUUGGGAUAACGUCGGUGCAUUUUCUACGUUGUUGUUAAUCUCCUGCAGAUUGAACAAAAACGUCGUUAACGAAACACUACACUAUACCGGUUUUCAACACUACUUACUACUUACUAUAUAACACUACAUACUCUAGUACAACAACAUUAUCCUUAGUGCUGAACGUACAGCUACUCAUACUGUUGGCCGUCCUCGGUAUCCUCAACAGAAUUAAUAACAUACUGUACGCACAGUUACUAAAUUGCGGUACAUUAAUGAAAUCAAAUAACGAUUUGGCAAUCGGUAUCAUCAUCUUCAUUAUCAACCGCUCGUUGAAGUACCUCUGUGUUACUACCUCUAGUACCACAGUUCGACCACUGCUUCUACUAGUACCUCGGUGCUUCUACCUCUAGUUUCCUUGAUAUACUAUAACCGGUAUAGUACAGUGAUGAUAAAUUAACGUACACUACAAAUAAUACAAAUACGUAGAACAAAUGAAUCUUGCUGCCAUCAUUUAUUCUACUAGGGAGUAUUAUUAAAGUUCUUUCACAAGGGGGAUUGACACGCGGCAACGAUUUCAAGCAGCAAAGCUUCGUGGUGCACUACUAACCCACACUAUCUAAGGAUGCAAGUGUACGUUGCCCACAUUCUGUCAAAAUGUGUACGUUUUUGUGAAUCCAAUUGAACUGCUCGGAUCGUACAUGUCUGUACCGGAGCCUUGUGUCUCUGGCUUUCCAGCUUGUACUCAGCAUACCUUCUAUGCUAGUUGUACCUCUACAAGUGGCUACUACUGAUCAGGCAGAGUGCACUACUAGCCUGUGCCGGAUCAGCUGAGCCUAGUACAUUGUGAAUCUACUGAUCUCCCUACAGAUUAUACUCACCCUCAAGUAAUUUAUUAAACUAAUCUACUGGAAUUAAUAGUACUUGAAUCAGAUUUUAGAAACGUUUUUACAGAACAUGUAGUUUACCGGUUACGAGUACAUUUGUACUUGAAGUUGCGCAAGGAUCUCUUUUGGUUCGACUUUCUACUACCGUCGUUGAUAAACCUGACCCAGGCCUUGGACUCCUACUAGGAGUAUCGACGGUUCUUUCGUAUACAGGAUCUUCCUGACGAUCCACUACGUGGGUAGGGUCUCUUGGUUCUGCAAUACUUGCGAACCGUCAGUGCACGACUACUAAUGAGGGAGCAAGUCACACCGUACGAAAUGUCGAAUCUUGGUCCCGAGGUUUUCGUAAAACUCGUUGUGCCUCGUAUACUCUACAAGCUCCUCGACUUUUACCAAAAGGUUCGAGUACGGGCCCAGUUCUCUAUACUUCAGAGGCUGUUCAAGAUAUCAACAUUCUACCUCCUUUUAUCAAGACAAUCACUCGUGUAUGAGUUUUACAGACCCAACGUGUUGGCGGACAGGAUCGACCUUUAAUUGGAGGGCCUGUCCGCCAGUAACUGUCUUAGGAAGUCAGCGAGGGUGGCUCGAUGUUCUCGAAACACUACUUGAUGUUAUACAUCCCCUACCACUUUUGAUAAGGACUUCAUAAAAGUUACGACUUCAGUCGUCUCAUCUUUAGUUCUUCCUUGUAGUUCACAACUACCAGUUAUUUUGGUGAUUCAAGUUCUUCCCGUUCCCAUUCUUCUUGAAGUUCUUCCUGCCGUUCCUACAACGGCGUGGGCCAUUCGGUCAACGGCCCUUCUUCAGUUUCUUACCUGGGUUCGGACUCUGACUCACGAAAAUAACGUUUCCCUUCCCAGUCACCUUCGCCUUGACGGGGUUUAUGAAUCGCCUGUUCUUCCGACCGUUGUGAUUUCCUCGACGCCUUAUUCGCCUCUGACCGCUUCCUGCUCCACUGCUACGUGCAGCCCUUACCAAGGUUCCAGCUACACUAGCAGCAGCCGUGCGACGGAGAUGUAAAUGGGUGCCCUAAUCAAAAUUUGGAGUUAUUAACAAUAAAUCACGGUUCAAACUCGUACUUGUAACAUAGACCUAGAGCAAAUUAUGCUCUACCGAUGAGUAAAUUUAGGCUCUUAUUAUCAACAAGAUAAAUAUACUCUCUAUACAAAAUACCAGUACGGGGUUACCAGUUACCAAAUAAGAAUUACUUAGAGUUCG
rnacentral:rRNA from 1 species